UGCGCAGAUAAGUCGACCUGGUGUUUGAUAGCGCAUCGAUAUGCCUUUUUAUUUUUUGUGUGAAAUAUUUGGAAUAAUAAUUACAAGUAAUUGCUGUUUAGGUUUGUUUAAUUCCGUAUGUACUUAACGUUGUUUUGUUUCUUUAGGUUCACGACAUGAUUCCAUCGUCGUUCUUGGUGGUGGUGGUAUUUCUUUCGUGUUCCUACGUUGCGCGAUGUGAUGUGCUAACUUAUGGACCUUUAGGUCCAUGUAAUGCAACGGUAGAGUGUGCAAAUAAUGUCACAGGUUGUGAAAAUGAUUUCUGUCAUAUACAGGCCGAUCAAGUAUGCACAAUAGAAACUUCAACAACCGCCCAAACAACCGCUGGACCAACCCAGUCAGGUUCAACUUCCCAAGCACCGAGUUCUACCUAGGCGCCAACAACAACUGCGUCACCUGCAUCUACUGCAACACCUUUAACUACUGCGGAUGCAAGCGCAACAACAGGUGCUCCCAUUGGCGGCAGAAAACGAAGGAAACGCAAUACAGGCCAUAAGGAAUGUGUUUCAAACGCAAGUUGUUUGUCAGGAAAACAAGCCACACUGGUGUGUGCGUGUUAUGAUGUCUUUACGGCAGAUAAUGGACUAUUCAAAGCUACAGAUCCUUAUAAUGGCGCGGGACAUUUGAGAGUGACGGUACUUUCCAUGGUGACGACAGUGCAGCUGUUUCUCAUCUAACAAACCUUCCAGCGCUACAGCGGCUCGUUGAAUUGUUGAUGUCAUCGUCGAAUAUAACUUUAUAUCUUUAGGAUUCAUCACGGAACAAAUAUAUUGUAGAUACCUAAAUCAAAACCAGUCGUGUGUAGUAGAACACAUGUAUUUUUUAUCUGCAUGUCAAUUUGAAAGUGCAUUUAUCAAUACAGGAAAAAACACAAUUCAAAUGCUUAAACAACUACAACUGAAACAAACUUACGAUUUCACAAACCGAGAGCAGAACAUUCGAGCGGUGUGAUAUGCACAUUAUUGAUGCAUGAUCUGGCUUUGAAAGUUUGUGUGCCUUGUGUCUAUAAAAUAUGUCACCGAGAGUUUACAUGUAUGUGAGUUCUGGUAAUCUGCGCAUGCCUGAUGAAGCCGUAGUGCCGACCAACUAGCAAUGCCAGAUCAACCAGAACUGUGUGGUUUCUUGUUGGCACAUGAGCGCCACUUUUGGCCGGAUUCUUUUUUAACGAAUACAAGCGAUAUACCUACAUACUAAAUAGUGUUGACAUAGUUAUCUGCCUAUAAACCGAGCCUUCGUAUUAUACAUGUUCCUCGAUCCCAGUUACCGCUCUACAAUUAAACACUGAUUAUCACAAAACAAUUUAUACAACCGGUGCUCGUAUACAACUUUUUUCUAACAUUCAAGUUUAAAGAUACGUUAGCAUUCGGUUUCAGUCUUAAUUUCCUAAGUAUAAACGCACUGCGUUUUUGUUACAGUAUACGAAUAAAUUCAGAAAAUGCAAUAGUAUAGUCUCAAAAACAAAUCAUCUUAAUUUGCUCUAUGAUGUAUUUAAGUAAAAUACACUGGUUAUGAUAUUCUUUUGUUCAACCUGAGUUCAGUGAGAACGUUGAUGUUCACGCAGAAAUCACUGAAAUGUUUUUUUAAUUUGGAAACUGCAGUGCGAAACUCACGCAAAUGAGAUUUACUCUCAACCAUGCAGUAGCUUGAAAAAAGUUCACUUUGAUUAUUGCCGAAUUCCAUCUUGUCUGAUGAUACACCGUUGCUAUUUUGGACUUACGUUUAAGGCUUUUCACUAAAUUUCGUAAGGAUUGGAAUCUGUAUAUUAUAUUUGUAUAUUAAUUGUAUAUUAUGUUAUCAUGGUUUCAUGGUAACAAAUCAUAUCCUUAUCUGCGUUCAUGCGCACAUCAAACACACGUUUGUUGACCUUUAUCAUGUUUAUGCUGUAAAUGGUUUCAAAUGCUAGACAAUUUGGUUCUGAUUACAAUUGUACAUGUAUAUAUUUAUUCAUACCACCUAGAUUACUAAGGACGUCAACUUUGAUAUGCAUUAAGCGAAUGUGCAUAUUAACAGCCUCUAAAACAAACGUAUUGUCCAAACAACUUCGUACCCUCUAAGUGUGUUUGUAUUUGAUUACUAAAGUGUGAAGCAAUUCUAUAUCUUAAGAAUCAAACAGACACACGCAUAUAUGGUGCGCAGUCAAAUGUACAUAUACUAUUAAUAUUAAACGAAAACAACAAUAAAUAUAACAGAUAAAUAGUACGCACAGUUAACAGCUGUAGUCAACUUCAUAUCUAAUAACAAUUUCGUGUAGACCAUAUGAAACUGAUGUAUUUAGAGUUGCCAUCGAAAUGUUUUGCUUUCUUAGCACUAUUUUAUGUUAAAGAUUACAGUAAAUUCAAUGGUCUGACAAACAUAAGCAAACAAAUAAAAUGUCUUUCUAUGUGAUACAA